rnacentral:lncRNA from 1 species
UACAUUUUUUUUAGUUAUACAUGGGCACAAUAUCUUUAUUUUGUUUAUUUAUUUUUAUGUGGUGCUGAGGAUCGAACCCAGGGUCUCACACAUAAGAGGCAAGUGCUCUACUGCUGAACCACAACCCCAGUCCCUGUUUAUUGAUUCUUGAUUUUACUUCUUGCGCUAUAGAAGUCUUGUUGAGGAAGUCACUUCCUAAGCCCACGUGGUGGAGAUUUGGGCCUACUUUUUCUUCCAUUAGGCGUAAGGUCUCUGUUCUAGUGACUAAGUCCUUGAUUCAUUUUGAGUUGAGUUUUGUGCAAGGUGAGAGAGAGAGAGGGAUUUAAUUUCAUUUUGCUACAUAAGAAUUUUCAGUUUUCCCAGCACCAUUUGUUGAAGAGUAUCUUUUCUCCAGUGUAUGUUUUUGGUGCCUUUGUCUAGAAUGAUAUAACUGUAUUUAUGUGGGUUUGUCUCUGUGUCUUCUAUUCUGUACCAUUAGUCUAAAUGUCUCUUUUGGUGCCAGUAGCAUGCCCUUUUUGUUAUUAUAGCUCUGUAGUAUAGUUUAAGGUCUGGUAUUGUGAUGCCUGCUGCUUCACUUGUCUUGCUAAGGAUUGCUUGGCUAAUCUGGGUCUCUUAUUUUUCCAAAUGAAUUUCAUGAUUGCUUUUCUAUUUCUAUGAAAAAUGUUAUUGGGAUUUUAAUAGGAAUUGCUUUAAAUCUAACAGUUUUGGUUGUAU